rnacentral:lncRNA from 1 species
UGUUGCAUUACUAUGGAGGAACAGAAAUUUGAUCAGAUUUGAGAAUAAGACUUUUGAUGAAGAUCAAUGUUGCAAGGAAGUAACACUGCUAUUACAUACAACGAAUAGGAAUCGAAAGAAGUGGAAGGAUAACUUGCAAAAUCUCAAUACAUUUCCUUAGUUGGUUGAGAAUUAGCUACUAGAAUUGCUAUGUAUAUGAUAUGAAUAGUUAGGAACCAGUUGUAACUAGAAGGAUAGGAAUGAGUAGUAGAAGUCCAUACUACUACAUUAGGAUUCAUUGUAUAUUUUUUUGAGAUCAC